UAUUAAGAAUUCUAUCCUUUUUUCCUCUUAAAAACUAGCAUGGUUGACAGAAUAACCAGACAGUUACAUACAUAUAUCUUAUUCUAACGUAUAAUGAUCAGUUUUUAAUAGUAAAAAUGGAUAGAAUUUUUAACA
rfam:Gossypium raimondii Chr11_contig_27, whole genome shotgun sequence.